rnacentral:rRNA from 1 species
UACAGAGGGUGCGAGCGUUGUCCGGAAUCACUGGGCGUAAAGGGCGCGUAGGCGGUCUCUUAAGCGUGUGGUGAAAGCCCGGGGCUCAACUCCGGGUCGGCCGUGCGAACUGGGGGACUGGAGCGUAUCAGAGGCGGGCGGAAUUCCUGGUGUAGCGGUGAAAUUCGCAGAUAUCAGGAGGAACACCGGUGGCGAAGGCGGGUCUCUGGGCCGAUACUGACGCUGAGGAGCGAAAGCGUGGGGAGCGAACAGG